rnacentral:rRNA from 1 species
UUAAAUUGAAGAGUUUGAUCAUGGCUCAGAUUGAACGCUGGCGGCAGGCCUAACACAUGCAAGUCGAACGGUAACAGGAAACAGCUUGCUGUUUCGCUGACGAGUGGCGGACGGGUGAGUAAUGUCUGGGAAACUGCCUGAUGGAGGGGGAUAACUACUGGAAACGGUAGCUAAUACCGCAUAACGUCGCAAGACCAAAGAGGGGGACCUUCGGGCCUCUUGCCAUCGGAUGUGCCCAGAUGGGAUUAGCUAGUAGGUGGGGUAACGGCUCACCUAGGCGACGAUCCCUAGCUGGUCUGAGAGGAUGACCAGCCACACUGGAACUGAGACACGGUCCAGACUCCUACGGGAGGCAGCAGUGGGGAAUAUUGCACAAUGGGCGCAAGCCUGAUGCAGCCAUGCCGCGUGUAUGAAGAAGGNCU